GCAUCUUUUUUUUGCUUCACAUUUAUCUAGGAAAUUUCUUCUGCUAUUUAAAGUGUAUUGAACAAAGUUCCAGUGUAUUUUUAUUUAUUUACAGUACAUAUAUGUUUUAGUGAAUUGAUUUUUUUGGUAAUUUGCAGAUUUUAUAAAUGCUUAAAGCAUAACUAAGACUUAAUGUUGUGUUUGCCAAUAAUAAAUAUAUCUAAGGCAUUAUUAACUAAGACUUAAUUAGAGUUGUGUUUGCCAAUUAUAAAUAUAUCUAAAGCAUAAUAAAGACUUAGUGUUUGCCGAUUAAAAUUAUGUUUAUAAAGGCAUAAUAAAGACGUUAGUGUGUUUCUUAGAAAAUCAUAUCACAUAAUCUGCAGCCUCUUGGAGAGUUUUAAUUACAUUGUUUUACAAAUCAAACAAAAAUUCAAUUUCAAUGAUCAUUGUUAGAUUCACUCAUGACAGUUCGUUUUAAGCAUAUCAAAUGAUAUUCUUUCACACAUGCUUUCAUUGAUAGUCAUCAUACACUUGUCUUUCUUGUUGAUGUUGCAAUUUUGUGAAUUCCAUCAACUCAGGGCAUUUGUGCAAUUCAGGAAGCUGUAUUGUAUUGAUGUGUUAAGUUUAUCUGCUCUGUUAAUUUUGUUUUUUUAUUGCUCUUUGACCAAAUCAUUGUCUUUCCUCUAGUCAUGAUCUAUGCAUCAUCAUUUUGUUAACUUGCAUUGAAUUUUGUUUUUUAUCUACUUUUUCAUAAUGUACAACUUAUUAAUUCAUAUUCAUUGUUUUUAUGUUUUCAAAAAAAAAAAAAUCAUCAUUC
rnacentral:sRNA from 1 species